CGUCAGUGAUCAAACUUGCGUCCUCAUGGAUGCUAGUCAGGUUUGUUUCUGCUGAGCCACGGCAGGACCUCCUGACUUCUGUUCUGAUUGUAUACUGAUUACAUAGCGUGAGCAAAAGCGUAAUACCAGCACUCACCUCAAAACACAAUAAAUAUAUGAUAAUCGCAGGUACAGGUAAGUAAAACAUUUUUUAAAAAAACCUGUGAGGAGAUUGAAUUGAUAGGAAUCCAAGGAGAGAGGAUUACAAGGGUUUGAAUAUCAGGAGAAGGGGAUAAUUGGGGCCAUUCUAGAGACUGUUUGUCACACUGAACAUUACAAUUUCUGGGGCAGAGGGAAAGCUAACAAAUCGUGUGUCCGCUCUUAAGAGGUUCCUUUUGGAGGUGUCACAUUGGUGCUUCUUAUAUUUUGUAGCCAAACAAGUUACACUGUCAACACUAACUUCCUAAGGAGGGGAAGUUGCAAUCCUAUCAUGUACUGAAAAGAAGAGGGAACCUGGAAUGUUUGCCAAUAGGGCUACCACAGCUACAGUUUCAACCAUGGGAGAAUAAAUUUUUUGAUACAUCCACCUGCAGAACAUAAAGUAACUCUUAACAGAUGUGAAGUGGGGUGUGUCCUUUAGCAAAGGAUGAAAAAACAGUUGAGGCAUCAAGUAUCCCACCUUUUGGCCAUGGCAAUGUGCAGCAGCUUGAUGUGGGAUCUAAGUUCCCAGAUCAGGGAUUGAACCUGGGCUGCAGCAGUGAAAGCUCUGAAUCCUAACAACUGGAUGACCAGGGAACUCCUUUCCAGCACUUAUUAAAAGGUGACCGACUUCUCCAUCCUCAACCAUCUUCUCAGCCCUGCCCUGCCAACCCUCACAAUCUCAUAAGAGGAUUGGUUGGAGGGUGGGGAUGGGACUCAGCAGUCAUGAACCAGCCUUGGUGGAGAGUGCUCUGGCGUCUCUCUCCAAAAAUCAAGUGAGGAGGACUGCGAGAGAUUCCCCCAGGGAGAUGGGGGCUGUUUAAGGGAGUGAAAACCUGUACAGAAACAGCAGGGUGGAGGGGCAGCCAAGAGGACACCACAUGAAGUAUACCAGCAAGGGGCAGGGCAUGGACACAGAAGAAGUCACCCUGGGCUGGGCUCCCUGUCUGAGAACCUGCAGGAGGGCAGGCUUUGCAACCCUGUCUGAGAACACCUGCCUGCCCAGAAGAGCAGGUUUGGUAACAUUCUGGAAAGGACCACCAGCCAAUGAUAGAUACCAGUCCUUUUCCUCGUCUCAGUCCCCAACCCCAAGAAGCUGAAACUGAGUCCUUCUAAAAUGAAGUUCCUCUGCUGAGUUUAUGAUUAACCUCUCUAUCCAAAAAUGUUAUUCCCCUUUUUGUCCAACAUCUGUUCCCCUCAAGGCUGAGGAGUAUCAAAGGAGGGUUUGAAACUGAGCAGGACCCUGCAGGGCUCUCCCAAGUACAAAAACCUUUCCAUGGCCCCCAUUUCUUGUUUGCAGGAAAAAGAUUUCAGCCUCUUCCAGCUUCUCUAAAUUUCAAAGGGCAGAUUCAAAUACUAAUUAAGGGAGUGAAAGAAGGCUGAAGAAAACCCAAAGGCAGUUUGUAUUUAGGAGUUCUACAUGAACUAGCUGAGUAUAGCACAUGGACCCCAAACUGGCUGGAACUGGAAGGCUGAUGGCUGAGAAUCGUGGAACACGUCACCACCAACCGGUCAGAGGAAGGUCACGCUCUACAAAAGGUUCCUUAAAUCUUGUCUAUAAAUACUCUUCCCAGAACACCACAAGGCAGGGCAGAUCUUUUGAGCAUAAGCCACCCUGUUGCUUGGUUUUCCCUGCUCAGCCCUGCAAUAAGCCUUUCUCAGCUCCAGACCCCAAGCUUUGGGUUUGUCUGGCCUCACGAGGCAUUUAGCAGGGUGACUUUGGGUUUGACAGCAAUGCCAGGCUCCCAACUGGGAGAAGUUCGCAUCCUCGCCCGACCUGCGCCGCAGCAGGAGCUUCUACGUGGCACCACCACUGCGGGAGCCUAACAACUGAAACUAAAAAACGGGCUUUUUGAGCCCGGCCAAGGUUUAAAGAGGAUUCAGGAGCUCAUGGGACGAUGCGGCGGCCAGGCUGCCCCCGGCGCCGCGUUGAGGGCGGGGCCAGGGCUCUGUCCGCGCAGGCGCAGUGCAGCCCGGGCGGGCUUGGCCGGGAGACGCGGUGUGAGCUUGCUCCGCCUCCUGAACCCUUGACCUUGCGGAGGAGGAAGAAGUGAUGGCCAGGUUCCAGAACUGUGCUGGCCAGAAGUACAGAAGUUCUCAAACUCAUGAGAGUGAAUGUAUGGGAUGUCUCGGCGAGAGGGCAGAUGUGGAAAAGAGGUAAAAGACGGAACCCUGGGGAGCACCAGAGCCUCUGUAUCGACCUCAUGAGCCUUCCACUAAGAGAUGGUGUCCACUGGAACUGCAAGGCCAAGGGCCCGAGCCGAAGCAGUGGCGAUCAGUCCGGAGUGGGAUGGGGCAACGCCAGUCUUUCCCCCAGCAGGAACUGAAGGCUUUGAGGGCAUAUAAGCAAGGACCCUGGGAGACAGAGCUGGGAUGCUGCCUGGAACAGUCAGAUUCCACAGCCUGGUGACAUCACUGCGGCAACAGAGUUCGCAAACAGGAGUCAGAGGCCCAGAAGCCAUGUGAAGAAUUCUCUCCUCAAGGGGAUUGGCAAGAGUGUUGUAAGAAACAGCCGGCAGUCCUUCCCAGCCGUCCACCUGCC